rnacentral:rRNA from 1 species
UUGGCUCAGGAUGAACGCUGGCGGCGUGCCUAACACAUGCAAGUCGAACGAAGCACUGGAAAUGAUUCCUUCGGGUUGAUUUUCCUUUGACUGAGAGGCGGACGGGUGAGUAACACGUGAGCAGCCUGCCUUUCAGAGCGGGAUAGCAGUUGGAAACGACUGAUAAUACCGCAUGACAUGUCUCUUCCGCAUGAGAGAGACAUCAAAUGAUUUUUCGCUGAAAGAUGGGCUCGCGUCCGAUUAGAUAGUUGGUGAGGCAACGGCUCACCAAGCCGACGAUCGGUAGCCGGACUGAGAGGUCGAUCGGCCACAUUGGGACUGAGGCACGGCCCAGACUCCUACGGGAGGCAGCAGUGGGGAUA